GACGAACGCUGGCGGCGUGCUUAACACAUGCAAGUCGAACGAUGAAGUUCCUUCGGGAAUGGAUUAGUGGCGAGCGGGUGAGGAACACGUGAGAAACCUGCCUUUCAUUUUGGGAUAACUCCGGGAAACCGGGGCUAAAACCGAAUACUCCGUCUCGGCGGCAUCGCUGAGCCGGGAAAAAAUUUUGAUGAAAGAUGGUCUCGCGGCCUAUCAGCUAGUUGGUGAGGUAAUGGCUCACCAAGGCAACGACGGGUAGCCGGCCUGAGAGGGCGACCGGCCACACGGGGACUGAGACACGGCCCAGACUCCUACGGGAGGCAGCAGUGGGGAAUAUUGGGCAAUGGGCGCAAGCCUGACCCAGCGACGCCGCGUGAGGGAUGAAGGCCUUCGGGUUGUAAACCUCUUUCAGUAGGGAAGAAGCGAAAGUAACGGUACCUAAAGAAGAAGCACCGGCUAACUAUGUGCCAGCCGCCGCCGUAA
rnacentral:rRNA from 1 species